AUAUUAAUAGUAUAAUAUAAUACACUAACUUUUCAUGUUAAAAAUAUUCUUAAAUUUAAUAUA
rnacentral:tRNA from 1 species